UUUGUUUUCAAAUUAUUUAUGCAGAUGUCUUUGGAAUAUAUACUGUCUUCAAAUCAAUGAUUUUCUGCUACUAUUACUCAAUAUUCAAGUUGGGAAUAUCUUAAAGACUUUAUAGAUUUUAUAGAUGCAAAUGAACAAUGUUCAAUAAUGUGUAGUAAUUUUUAUGGAUUCUUUUUUUCUAAAAUUAUUUAUAGAGAAGAGGAAGAGGUAUUUAGUUGUAGAUUGAUACAUGAAUUCGUAAUGGGGCUUGUUGACUUUGGUAAAAAUAACGAAGUAUGGAUAAAAUUAGACGAUCGUAUUGCUAGAUUUGGUAUGAAAGAAUUUUGUCUUAUCACUGGAUUACCUUGUCAUGAACCGGUUAUGGAGAUUGAUCAUAGCAACAAUCGUCUUAGAAAUCAUUAUUUCAAUGGUAGUCAAAGAAUUAACAUGAAAAUGCUAUUUGAAGUUUUCCAUGAAUGUGAAGACUUAGUAGAUAAAUUUAAGUUGGGAUUAGUUAUGUUGGUGGAAUGUGUUAUAAAACCAGUUGGAAGAAUUAUUGAUUACAAAACUCUUGGUAUGGUCGAGCAUCUUGAUGAAUUUCUUGGAUAUCCUUGGGGUUGAAAAUAAUUUUUUAUUUUGUUAAAUUCACUACAAGAAUCACAAUUGCAAAGAGCAGGAAGAGUGCAACGGAACGAACAAAUAGAUUGUAAGUAUGCAUUACGAGGGUAUCCACUUGCAUUUCAAGUAUUUUAUUAAUAUUUUUUUUCUUUUGUUGACUUCAUUUAUUUGUAAGAGAAAAAUAUUUGUAAUUGCGAUACAGUAUUGGAUUUAUGAGGCAAUUCCAGAAAUUGGAAAAAAAUUUGGACGGCGUCGAUACAAAACAACACAGAGUCCACGAAUGUAUAAGUGAAGUCCUAAUAAACUACUGACUCAAAAAAUGAUUAAGCAUUUUCUAGCUACUCGAGAGGUACGAUUUAUUUUAAUGAAUGUAUAACUACAUUUGUGUUUAAUUAUUUAAAAACAAAAUGAAAAAAAUAUUUUGAUAUUUUAUUAAAAUUACAGAUUCAGGUUAUUUCAAUGUUACAUCCCAUGGAGGAAGAAUUGGUGACAUCUUGGUAUAUAAAUCUUUCACUACCAGCUGAUAAUGAACAUCGUGUAUUAGAUGACAUUGUCGGUGGAGAAUUAGACAAUGUGGCACAACAAAUCCCAGAGGAUACUUUUGAGCAAGAAAGGGAUAAUAUAUAUGUGACAGAGACGACCAUUCCUAGUACGUCAAGAACUUCACUAGUAGCGGGGCCUAAUUUUGGAUCUAGCACCUCUAAUUAUGUAACUGAAGACAGAUGAUAGAACUACUUGGUGUCCAGAAGCAAGACAUAAUAAAAGAGGUGUUUGAUAUUUAUGGCAACUUGAGAACAGAAGUUUAUGAUAAUCAAAGACAGUUGUUCGAACAAUACCAAAAAUGAUAGGAGGAUUAUAUGCAAUCUACUAUGUGUUCCUACAUGGAUAACUCAUUAUCAAGUUUUUUUAACACACAUUUGGAGAAAGAGCAACAAUUAUUCCAACAACAACAAAAAUGACAAGAAGACCAUUAUCAGACCAUGCACUCUUAUGUAGAUACCAGUUUAAAUUCCAUGCGAUAUUAUGUGGAUGAACAAAAUAAGAAUACGCUGCAAAAAUUAUCUGAAUGGAAAUCAGACAUGGAAGCCAUUAUUAGUUGUAUGCAAGAAGACAUUCCUAUUGGUACAUGUCCAAUUCCCGAUGAUCAACCGAAGGAUGCAUCAACGGCUCAAUAAGUCGAAAGUUUUGAAACAUCACAACGAGAAAAGAAAAAAAAAGAAAAACAAAUACAAUCUUCGUCGUCUAAAAGACAUCCUUUGGAAGAUUAUUCUAUGAAAAAUACUCGACUCUUAGAAACUGGAUAGCGGAGAACGAAUCAAGGUUAGAAAUAUGAUUUUUUAUUAUUGGUUUAAAUACUACAAUUUUAUUUUGAUUUAUUCAACUCUAAUUUUAAUUAUGCUAUGUAGUACAUAUUUGGAAAAUGCCAUUGGGAACGUCUAUGGAAGAUAUUGGUUGAAAACUUUAUUGAAUAGAACAAAAG
rnacentral:lncRNA from 1 species